rnacentral:tRNA from 2 species
AAGAUCUUAAGUUAAUCAAACUAAUAGCCUUCAAAGCUGGAAAUAAAUAUCCAUAUUUAGGUCUUA